AUGGGUGGAGACGUAAGGAGUUUUACGGCUAAAAUGGACAUGCUAGACCCAACACCACCCAUUAGGUCUCCAUUUGGCACUGCAGGCAUACUCAGUAAUGAACUGACAGGGGAAGGAACUGAAACAUUUAGGAUGACAAGACCAAGCUGUAGAGGAGAGGAUGUCCUGUUUAAAAACCAAGACCCGCUAUUUGUGAAUACAUUUGGUGGAACCACCUUCAACACAUCCAAAGCCAAACCAACUACUCCCGCUGGACUCACUUCAACACUGACCCCAGGAGUCAAAGUUUCAGUAAACACAAGUGUGAAUGCUCUAUCAGCCAGUAAUGCUGAAGUGAAGACAGCUGCUCCCUCCUCAACAUCGCUGCCCAUUUCCAAAUCCCCCUUAAGAAGAGCCAAUAGUUUCUCAGUUCAGCCACAGCUAAAAGAUCAGGUGAAAAAUAUCCAGAUUACAGCUAAGCCAGUGAUUAGUGCAUAUGCCCAUCAAAGAGCAAGAUCCAAUAGCCUCAGUGGCGGAAAACCCAAUGACGAUUGCCAGAUUACAGUAGAAGCAGAACUUACUGUGUCUUUUCUGAUGUGGUGCUACAUAAAGGAGGUCUACUGCAACCAACUGGACUCCAUGAAAUCUGGCUUGCAAAUGACUGAGAAACAAGCAGGCAAAAGUGAGAUGAGUGUGACACUGAAGGGCACAGAUUCAUCAAAGGUUGGAGAAAGUCAUCGCCAGCUUCAGAAUCUAGUGGCUUCGGUAGCCAGUGACUUUUGCAUUCAUGAGUUAAGUUUGACAGGGCUUGGCAGAGUUGAAAACGAUAAACUGUUUGAAACCUGCUGCUUGAAUGUGCAGUCACGUUUUCGCAAAGUCAUCUUAUACACCAUGAAGAACAGCAUUUACUUGCUUGGCCCAAAACUGCACUGCUCACAAGCCAGUGAUAUAUUUAAGGAAGUAUAUGCUGGGCAGAAGUCUCCUUCCUUAUCACAGAUGAAGACCUUGCAGGAGGGUAUAGAUCAGGGACCAGCCAAGUCUUCCUUGGGCAUAUUUUCAACAAAAGCUGAUCACUCUAAGUCUGAACAACGUCUAAAUGAGUUUUCUUUUCAGGAUACAAGUCAAGUGGUUCAGUCUAACAGCAGUUGCGCAAGUGGAGGUCAAUCAGUCAAACCAAAAACGGCUACUUUGGAAAGGUUGGAAAACCCUAGAUAUACUAAGGAUGAAUUAAGCAAGACAAAUGCACUAAGCCUAUUUGCUAAACCCAGAGAAGACACACCAAGACAAAAAACUUCUUUUCCACUUGAAGCACACAAAAACAAGAUACCUCAAUGA
rnacentral:lncRNA from 1 species